rnacentral:rRNA from 1 species
AUUGAACGCUGGCGGCAGGCUUAACACAUGCAAGUCGAACGAGUGGCGGACGGGUGAGUAAUGUUCGGGAAUCUUGCUUAUGGAGGGGGAUAACUACGGGAAACUGUAGCUAAUACCGCGUACCAUAGGAUGAGCCCAAGUGGGAUUAGGUAGUUGGUGAGGUAAAGGCUCACCAAGCCGACGGUCUCUAGCUGGUCUGAGAGGAUGACAAGCAACACUGGGACUGAGACACGGCCCAUACUCCAACGGGAGGGAGCAGUGGGGAAUAUUGCGCAAUGGGGGCAACCUGACGCAGCCAUGCCGCGUGAAUGAAGAAGGCCUUCGGGUUGAAAAGUUCUUUCGGUAGCGAGGCGUUAACUACAGAAGAAGCACCGGCUAACUCCGUGCCAGCAGCCGCGGUAAUAC